GUGUUUAUAGGAUAAUUUUAAAGUCUAUAAGAUUCAUAUUUUUAUGGUGUAUAAGCAUU
rnacentral:tRNA from 1 species